AGUGAACGCUGGCGGUAGGCCUAACACAUGCGAGUCGAACGGCAGCACAGUAAGAGCUUGCUCUUACGGGUGGCGAGUGGCGGACGGGUGAGGAAUACAUCGGAAUCUACUUUUUCGUGGGGGAUAACGUAGGGAAACUUACGCUAAUACCGCAUACGACCUACGGGUGAAAGCAGGGGAUCUUCGGACCUUGCGCGAUUGAAUGAGCCGAUGUCGGAUUAGCUAGUUGUCGGGGUAAAGGCCCACCAAGGCGACGAUCCGUAGCUGGUCUGAGAGGAUGAUCAGCCACACUGGAACUGAGACACGGUCCAGACUCCUACGGGAGGCAGCAGUGGGGAAUAUUGGACAAUGGGCGCAAGCCUGAUCCAGCCAUACCGCGUGGGUGAAGAAGGCCUUCGGGUUGUAAAGCCCUUUUGUUGGGAAAGAAAAGCAGCAGGUUAAUACCCCGCUGUUCUGACGGUACCCAAAGAAUAAGCACCGGCUAACUUCGUG
rnacentral:rRNA from 1 species